GUCCACGCUGUAAACGAUGAGAACUAGAUGUUGGGAGGGGAACCUUUCAGUAUCGAAGCUAACGCGAUAAGUUCUCCGCCUGGGAAGUACAGUCGCAAGACUGAAACUCAAAAGAAUUGACGGGGCCCGCACAAGCGGUGGAGCAUGUGGUUUAAUUCGAUGCAACGCGAAGAACCUUACCUACCCUUGACAUCCUGCGAAUCCCGAUGAGAGUUGGGAGUGCCGCAAGGAGCGCAGAGACAGGUGCUGCAUGGCUGUCGU
rnacentral:rRNA from 1 species